GGCUGUAUGGAUGGCCCUGUGUUUGUUUUAACCCGGCCGCCUUCUCAAUGCCUGAUGAUAAUUAAGUACCAAAUAUACCAUAUUGUGUGGCUGCGUAAUCAAAUCAAGAGAGGAUAAUAUUCUUCUGUAUUAAGCUAUUAAUGUAAUUGGUCAUGAAGCAUAAAAUAUGUUAUGUAAUUAAAUAGGCUAGAAAUUAUAUGGCCUAUAUUAAGAAUUAUCCAAGCUGAGAAAAUGUUUUCUCUGUGGCCGUUAUAGGGAACAUUGCUUUCUGUUUCCUGACCGCAUUUGUAAAAAGACAGAGGAGAUAGGAAAAUUGGCUUCAUCAGUGGAUGUCACGCCAGCCCCAUGAGAUCGGCUAUGAAAUGCUGGUCUCUAUUUACAUAUACAGAAUGAUUUAAUCAAGGUGUGUCAGAUUUUGAAAAAAAAAUACUAAAUUAUGUGUAUAUGUCUCCAGAAUGUGCAUUAAACUAUAUAUAGGA